CCUACGGGAGGCAGCAGUGAGGAAUAUUGGUCAAUGGCCGAAAGCCUGAACCAGCCAAGCCGCGUGAAGGACGAAGGUUCUAAGCAUUGUAAACUUCUUUUGUCAAGGGACAAAUUCAGGCUCGAGUGCCUGAACGAGGAUACUUGGAGAAAAAGCAUCCGCUAACCCCGUGCCUGCAGCCGCGGUAAGACGGAGGAUGCGAGCGUUAUCCGGAUUUAUUGGGUUUAAAGGGCGCGUGGGCGGAUUGAUAAGGGAGCGGUAAAAUCCCGGGGCUAAACCCCGGCGAGCCGUUGAAACUGGUUGUCUAGAGUAGGCGAGAGGUAUGCGGAAUGCGUGGUGUAGCGGUGAAAUGCGUAGAUAUCGCGCAGAACUCCGAUUGCGAAGGCAGGAUACCGGAGGUGAACUGACGCUGAGGCACGAAGGCGUGGGUAUCGAACAGGAUUAGAUACCCCAGUAGUC
rnacentral:rRNA from 1 species